GGCCCCCCCCUCCUCUCCUCCACUGCCCGCUUCAGGCAGUCACAGGUUAGGGACCCCCAGAACGUGGGGCCCUGACCCCUUGGCUAGGAGCCAUCGAUGGCCCAACGCGCCAGGAGCGUACUGCGUUCAGAACGCUCCAGCAAGGCCCCUGCCCUGCGUGAAGCCAGACCGGGCUGCCUGGGCCUAUCAUCUGGUGACCCUUGUUUCUGUGUUGUGAAUGGGUAAAUAACACGUCCCUAUUCCCGUUCUCCACAGCAGUUGUAUUUGUGUGGUGAGGAACACGUGUGAUCACUCAUAGACAGGAGCAGCAAUGAACUCCUUUAUUUUGUUUUAACCACGAACAGGAAAACUACAGACAACUGCCUUCUAGCAAGGAGGAAGCUGAAGUGAACCUCAAGAAAAUCCGUGUCUCUCUAAAUAACAAUUUAUGGGUACAAACAGAAGCACUCCAGUGAACUAGGGGCACCAGAACAGGGGAGGUCAGCCAUGAGUGGAUGGGGCAACCAGAACUGCAUGCAGUGUUCAAGAUGAACAAUGCUGAACCAUACAGUUUACCAACACCCCUACCGGAGCGACCUUGGAAGAGACUAGCUGCAGAUUUAUGCAGAUUCAGAAGACAUCAUUACCUGGUCAUCAUGAGCUAUUUUUCCAGAAUAACUAGUGAUGGACAACAGACCACAAUUCAUUGCAGCAGAAUUUAAGUAAUUCUGAACAAAAUAUAAUUUGAUCAUAUUACAUAAGAAUGGCCAUAUUAGGUCUGACAGGUGGUCCAACUCCAAUAUCCUGUCUUCCAACAGGCACCAGUACCAGAUGCUUUAAGGGGAAUGAAAAGAACAGGGCAAUUAUCAAGUGAUCUAUUCCCUGCUGUUCAGUCCCAGCAUCUGGCAGUCAGAGGCGCAGGGACACUAGGAGCCACCAUUAUCCGCUAGUGAUGGAGAGGCUGAAAGAGCUGUACAGACAGCCAAGAAAACCCUUCAGCAGCAAGAUCCAUUCCUUGUUCUUCUGAGCUACAGAUCAACACCAGUAGCAGCGACUAGAUACAGUCCAGCACAACUCCUGUUGGAGAGGCAACUCAGAACUACUGUUCCAACUUAGAUUUUUUUUUUCCAAUCUCCAAGGUGGCCAGACAUGAAGAGAGUAGCUAAAUCAGAUACAAAGGCAAAAAGAUUUUAUGAACAUUUUUACAACAGACAUGACUCAGACAACUGCCAGGUCUAGAACUUGGAAACCAUGUUCAUGUCAAAUUGGAUGGAGAAAAAGGAUGGAUAAACUUCUAAAGACAAAGAAUUCAGCACCCAGAUCAUAUGUAACUGAGGCUGACAGUGGAGAGUUCAACAGAAACCAUCAACAUUUACAGUGUAUUCCUCAGAAAGAAUAAUCAAGAGAGCAAACUCUACAGAUGGUAGGUGCAGAACAAGAUGACUCGGAUUCCAAACCAGCUACAGCCAGUCGUUGCAACUAAUGGACAGCCAGAUGAACAAGUUGUUACAUGUUCAGGUCAUGUAAUUAGAAACCAGUAUGAUUCAGAGACAGUCAACAGACUGAUACAUAUUGAAUUUCAAAGACAGUGAUAGUGCAAAUAUUGUAAGUGGUAGGAAUGUAGAAUUUAUAGGUGAUGUAAUGCAGUGCUAAAUUUAUUGUACUGUUCAGCCAGUAGGUGGCACUGUGUGUAACAUACAUACCUGAAGAAGUGAGGUUUUUUACCCACGAAAGCUUAUGCCCAAAUAAAUCUGUUAGUCUUUAAGGUGCC